UACGUAGGGAGCAAGCGUUGUCCGGAAUCAUUGGGCGUAAAGAGCGUGUAGGCGGCUAGGUAGGUCCGUUGUGAAAACUCGAGCUCAACCUCGAGACGCCGGUGGAAACCAUCUAGCUAGAGUCCGGAAGAGGAGAGUGGAAUUCCUGGUGUAGCGGUGAAAUGCGCAGAUAUCAGGAAGAACACCCGUGGCGAAGGCGGCUCUCUAGUACGGUACUGACGCUGAGACGCGAAAGCGUGGGGAGCGAACAGGG
rnacentral:rRNA from 1 species